rnacentral:sRNA from 1 species
AAUAAAACCAAAAAAAAA